rnacentral:rRNA from 1 species
UACGUAGGGUGCAAGCGUUAAUCGGAAUUACUGGGCGUAAAGCGUGCGCAGGCGGCUUUGCAAGACAGAUGUGAAAUCCCCGGGCUUAACCUGGGAACUGCAUUUGUGACUGCAUGGCUGGAGUGCGGCAGAGGGGGGAUGGAAUUCCGCGUGUAGCAGUGAAAAUGCGUAGAUAUGCGGAGGAACACCGAUGGCGAAGGCAAUCCCCCUGGGCCUGC